rnacentral:rRNA from 1 species
UACGUAGGGUGCGAGCGUUUGUCCGGAAUUAUUGGGCGUAAAGAGCUUGUAGGUGGCUCGUCGCGUCGGGAGUGAAAACCCGCGGCUUAACCGCGGCCUGCUUCGAUACGGGCGGGCUAGAGUUCGGCAGGGGAGACUGGAAUUCCUGGUGUAGCGGUGGAAUGCGCAGAUAUCAGGAGGAACACCGGUGGCGAAGGCGGGUCUCUGGGCCGAUACUGACACUGAGAAGCGAAAGCGUGGGGAGCGAACAGG